CCUACGGGGGGCAGCAGUGGGGAAUUUUGGACAAUGGGCGAAAGCCUGAUCCAGCAAUGCCGCGUGUAGGAAGAAGGCCUUCGGGUUGUAAACUACUUUUGUACGGAACGAAACGGUCUUUUCUAAUACGAAAGGCUAAUGACGGUACCGUAAGAAUAAGCACCGGCUAACUACGUGCCAGCAGCCGCGGUAAUACGUAGGGUGCGAGCGUUAAUCGGAAUUACUGGGCGUAAAGCGUGCGCAGGCGGUUAUGUAAGACAGUUGUGAAAUCCCCGGGCUCAACCUGGGAAUUGCAUCUGUGACUGCAUAGCUAGAGUACGGUAGAGGGGGAUGGAAUUCCGCGUGUAGCAGUGAAAUGCGUAGAUAUGCGGAGGAACACCGAUGGCGAAGGCAAUCCCCUGGACCUGUACUGACGCUCAUGCACGAAAGCGUGGGGAGCAAACAGGAUUAGAUACCCCAGUAGUC
rnacentral:rRNA from 1 species